rnacentral:lncRNA from 1 species
CAGGAACCAAGGAGGGAAAACAGUAGGGGUGGCGCCCUCACUGUCUUCCCCUUCCCCUCCUCUGGAGUGCGUUCUGAAGCACUGGGACUCCUUUGACUCUGAGAUUUGGAAGAAAAAACAGCUCAUUUUCUUUUGCACAAGAGCAUGGCCUUCUUACUAGACCUUUGCAAGCAUUGCACAAUGGACUCAGCUCUUUCAGCAGUCAUAUCAGACAGGCCCAAAGGGAAUGAUUCCCCAAAACUAGAGAAACAAACUCCCAGGAACCCCUCAAAUGAAACUUCCAGAUGCCCUGGCCCUUCCUCCCUCCCUUUCACAUUGUCAGCUUCUCCAAUUCUACCACCCAAACCCCCAGACUUUUCUAUGGUAUUUUUCCUUCCUUCAUUCAUGAUUUAAAAUGGCUCCUAUCUCUUCUUCUAUAAUGUUCCUCCAAACUGGGAGAAGUUAAUUUCCUCAAACCUUAAAAUGCUUGGCUUAGGGUUGAGCUCGGGGAACAGAACCCAGAAGCCUGACAUGCUGUCAAAAGGGUAAAAAUUUUUAUUUUUAUUUUUAUUUAUUUAUUUUUUUUGAGACAGAGUCUCGCUCUGUUGUCCAGGCUGGAAUGCAGUGGUGC